GCGUCGGUAGUGCAGCACUUCAGCACGUGCCCACGGUUAGGGUGAAAUGUGGGUUCGAAUCCCACCUGACGCA